rnacentral:lncRNA from 1 species
CUUCCCUCAUGCUUUACUGAGGGACUGCCAGCCGCUUACCUGAGCCUCCCCAGUUUACCAUGCAGCCCUCUUCUUACCCCACAAAGGGCCAAUUUCAUCCCUUGAGGUCUUGUCUCACAAGUUGGCCAAGUGCCACGGAGGGCCUCCUCCCUCCUGUAGGAUCUUCCAGAUUCUAAGUCCAAGCCAGCUUACAUGCCUCCUCCUGGAUCCAAGGCCCAUUUGCCCGGACUUGACAUGAAGAGGGUCCCCACUGUGUGUACCCCAGAGCACUCCACACCCCAGGCCUGGGAUGCUCUCCUAGAAAAAUAUACCAUGCAGGUGGUGCCAGCCUCGGGCUAACAUCUUCUCAGAGCAGGUGAGGCUCCCCGUCCUCAGGGUGGCCCUUAGGCCUCCUCGCUGACACAGCCUGCCAGCCCACGCUGGCAUGCAGUCUCCUACGAGAACUCUGUCAGAGGCCUGCACUGCGGAGCGACAGGCUCACAGCCAGCACCAUAGCCCGUCCCCUCGUCCCCUCUGUUUUAUUGGGAUCACAUUGGUUUUCCUGAUGGUAGUACACAUGAGAUGGAAACGUGAAGCGCAUACGGACCUCUGCGAGUUGCCCAGAGUAUCUCAGUAAAUGUCUCGUUUUACGCGGUCCCCACUCUGAACAGCCUUCUGGCUAAAAACCCUCAUGUGUUUCUUUGG